rnacentral:rRNA from 1 species
GUCUAUGGCCAUACUAUCCUGCACUCUCCCAAUCUUGUCUGAUCUCGGGAGCUAAGCAGAGUCAGUCCUGGUUAAUACUUGGCUGGGAGACCAUUCAGAUAGUAUUCUCUGAGAAUAAAGUGGGUAAUAAAAU